GCCGGCUCCAUGGCCCGCCUUGCACUCGAUGCGACCAAUUAUAGGGUUGGUUUGAGGGCUUUUCUCCAAACUCGUGCACAGAAUAUAUUGCAUUGUCGCCAAUAACUUCAAUGAAUGCAAUGGCACAACACGAUCAUCAUGAUCGGCGGUUAGCAGCAUGGUUGACGGGUACUGCAAAACUUGAUCGGGAUGCUGUUCCCAAGGCCUCUUGACAUUGUGGAGUGGGGAAUACUUGAUUAGCCACUUGAACUCUUCCUCAUUGUCCGAACAACCAUAAUCAGAAGUCCA
rnacentral:misc_RNA from 1 species